rnacentral:rRNA from 1 species
AGCGCAGGCGGACAGGUCAGUCUGAAGUGGAAAUCCGGGGCUCAACCUCGGACUUGCUUCGGAUACUGCUUGUCUUGAGUUCGUGAGAGGAAGAUGGAAUUCAGGGUGUAGCGGUGAAAUGCUCAGAUAUCCUGAGGAACACCGGUGGCGAAAGCGGCUUACUGGACUGUAACUGACGUUGAGGCUCGAAAGUGUGGUAGCAAACA